rnacentral:misc_RNA from 1 species
GAUGGAGAACGCAGCGAAAUGCGAUAAGUAAUGUGAAUUGCAGAAUUCAGUGAAUCAUCGAAUCUUUGAACGCACAUUGCGCCCUUUGGCAUUCCGAAGGGCACACCUGUCCGAGCGCCGUCGCACAACUGAGGCGCAGCCUUGCGUUGGCGGGCGACUUGUGAGUAGCGAGUCGCCGCCCAAACGAGACGGCGCCGCGCCGCGGCCGACGAAGCACGAAAGCGGAAGUCGACGCGGAGGCGGUUGCCUGUAGGAAGACACAGCUUGGCCUCGGAUCAGGUGGGGAUACCCGCUGAACUUAAGCAUAUCAAUAAGCGGAGGA